rfam:Eutrema salsugineum unplaced genomic scaffold scaffold_2, whole genome shotgun sequence.
AUACCUUUCUCGGCCUUUUGGCUAAGAUCAAGUGUAGUAUCUGUUCUUAUCAGUUUAAUAUCUGAUAUGUGGAUCAUCGAUUCACACGAUAUUAACUCAAUUUAUUAAGGGUGUGAGCCAUCAAAAUAGCUUGCUAUUUGUGCUCACGUUUGUCGCUCAUGCGUUGCACUAUUGCAAGGGCUUGGCAUAACCCAC